rnacentral:rRNA from 1 species
UACGUAGGGUGCGAGCGUUAAUCGGAAUUACUGGGCGUAAAGCGUGCGCAGGCGGUUCGCCAAGUCAGGUGUGAAAUCCCUCGGCUUAACCGGGGAACUGCAUCUGAUACUGGAUGGCUUGAGUUCGGGAGAGGGAUGCGGAAUUCCAGGUGUAGCGGUGAAAUGCGUAGAUAUCUGGAGGAACACCGGUGGCGAAGGCGGCAUCCUGGACCGACACUGACGCUGAGGAGCGAAAGCCAGGGGAGCAAACGGG